AUAGAUGAGAACAGCAACACCAUCUGUUCACUCUGUGUUCUCUGUGCCCAGUGUUGUGUGAAACUUUCUAUCCAAUAUCUUGCAAAAUCCUUACAGCAACCCUAUAAGGGUUGGGUCGGGGCCUUCCAAUCUCUAUAGGUUUUACUGCUUCCAAAGACCUGGCAUACUCCUGGUUUGUGAUGAUCAAGUUCUGGGUCAGAGCAGGGAGAAGCAGCCCAUGAGGCCGGUGAAAUGGUGCCCAAUGGAGGGGAAGGCCCUGGCUUGUGAUCUUGGGCAAGUCCCUCCUCAUACCCAGCUUCAGCUUCUCCUCUAUAAAAUGGCUCUAGGAUGCAGCAGUGAACAAAACAGACGAGUCUACAGAGUUGACAUGACAUGCAGGGGCCAUGGAGAAGGCGAGAACUGUGGAAACGUCGUUGUUGAGUAUGUCAAAUGGUGAUGUGUGCUGUAAAGAAGGAGUGAAGCUGGACUCAGAGCGGACAGGAAGACAGGGGUAGGGGUAGGUCUGGGCUUUUGUACAGGGUGAUCUGAGAAGGCCACUUUGACAAGGUGAUAUGUAAAGUGAGGACACAAGCCCUGUGACUAUGUGGGCACAACUCUCCUAGGAAAAGGGAGCAGCAAAGUGCAUGGACCCCAAAGCAGGAAUGAAUAUGCUCAGUGCGUCCAAGGAAGAGCCGGGACCAGCAGAGCUCAAGUGGAGUGAGCGUGGGGAAAGAGCGGACCCGGUCAGAGGGGUGCUGGGGACCAGACAACGUCACGCGUCAUGGCCAUCGCUAAGGAUUUGGGGUUUUACUUUGCAUGAGAUGAAAAGCCACAGGAGGGUUUUGAAUAGAGGAGUAGAAUGAUUUGACUUGAGUUUUUAAAAGGUUUACUCCAGCUGCUUGGUGGAGAGUGGAUGGUGCAGGUGAGGGCAGAGGCAGGGAAACCAGUUAGGAGGCUGCUGCAGCGACGUGGGAGAGGACUGUGGGUGGUUUGGGCCAUAUUAGAAGCAGUGGUAAGAAACACUGAGCUCUGGAUGUGUUCUGAAGGUAUGCCAACGUGAUUUACUAACCGAUCCAUGAAGGGCAUGAGAGGAAGAGAGCAAUCAAAAAUGACCCCCAGGGUUUUUGUCUGAGCAUCUGGAGUUGCCCUUAUUUGAGAGUUAGAAGACCAAGAGGGCCGGGUGUAGUGGCUCACGUCUGUAAUCCCGGCACUUUGGGAGGCCGAGGCAGGUGGAUCACUUGAGGUCAAGAGUUGGAGACCAGCCUGGCCAACGUGGUGAAACCCCGUCUCUACUAAAAAUACAAAAAAUAGCCAGGCAUGGUGGUGGGCAUCUGUAGUCCCAGCUACUCAGGAGGCUGAGGCAGGAGAAUCGCUUGAACCCGGCAGGCGGAGGUUGCAGCAAGCCAAGAUCGUGCCACUGCACUCCAGCCUGGGUGGCAGAGCAAGACUCCGUCUCAAAACAAAACAAAACAAAAAACAAGAGGAACACAUUAGGUGGAUAGGAGAUGUCGUUUGGGUGCAGCCAGGCUGGGUGGCUCACACUUGUAAUCCCAGCACUUUGGGAGGCCCAGGUGGGAGGACUGUUUGAGCCCAGGAGUUGGAGACCAGCCCGGCUAACAUAGCGAGACUCCAUCCCUACAGAAAAAUUAAAAAAUUAGCCGGGCAUGGCGGCAUGUGCCUGUAGUCCCAGCGACUUGGGUGGGGGGCUGAGUUCAGGAGGUUUUGGCUGCAGUGAGCUGUGAUCACACCGCUGCACUCCAGCCUGGGCAUUAGAGCAAGACCUUGUCUUAAAAAAAAAACAACGAAAGUUUGAAUUGCCCAUUAGACAUCCAAGUAGAAAGGUCGAGUUUUAAGUUGGGUAUAGAAGUCUGGAGUUUGGGGUAAAGGUCUGGGCUGGAGAUCUAGCUUUAGGAGUCCUUCAGUCCUAGAGAGAGGGUGAAGUCAGGAAGGAAUGACAGAGGAAGCACCCAGGCCUGGACCUUGGGACCCUCCAAUGUUCACGGGCAGAGAGAAGUGGGGAGCGGCCAGUGAGGCAGGGGAGACCCCCUGGAGUGAGUGUCAAGAGGAUGGAGGGAGCUACUCUGUCAAAGACUGCUGCUCAUGGGCCAAGUAAAAUGAGGUCUGAGAACAGCCCAUUGCAUUUGGCAGCUGGAGGUCCUUCAAGGUCUUGACGUGAGCUGUUUCGGUGGAGCCAGGUAAUAAAAGUUAGUGGGUAGGAGUUAAAGCAAGAAAUUUCUUUGACUUUUGUCACCUGGCUCCACUGAAACAGCUCACGUCAAACCUCUGAGGAAGGGAAUUGGAGACAGUAACUGGAACACUCUUAAAGUUCUUUAGGCUGGGGACAGUGGCUCACGUCUGUGAUCCCAACACUUUGGGAGGCCGAGGUGGGUGGAUUGCUUGAGUCCAGGAGUUUGAGACCACUCUGGACAAUAUGGCAAAACUCAAUUUCUACUGAAAAUACAAAAAAUUAGCCAGGUGUGGUGGCCUGUGCCUGUGGUCCCACCUACUGGGGAGUCGGAGGUGGACGGAUCACCUGAGCCUGGGAGGUGGAGGCUGCAGUGAGUCCUGAUUGCAUCACUAUACUCCAGCCUAGGAAACCAGAGUGAGGCCCUGUCUCAGGGGAAAAAAAAAAAAAAGAAUUAUCCAGCCUGGGCAACAAAGUGAGACCCUGUCUCUACAAAAAAAUAAAAAUAAAAAAAUUAACUAGGUGUGGUGAUGGACACCUGUGGAUCCAGCUACUUGGGAAGCUGAGGUGGAAGGAUCACUUGAGCCUGUGAGGUCGAGGCUGCGAUGAGCUGUGAUUAUGCCACUGCACUAUAGCCUGAGUGAGAGUGAAAUCUUGUCUCAAAAAAAAAAAAAACAGUUUUGUCUACAGGUGAGCAGAGCAGGGAGCAAUGGCUAAAGCAGGAUGAGAGAUAAAGGAAGAGAACUAGGUUGUUGUUCUGCUUCCCAUCUUGUUAUUCCAGGUCAGACAUGGUGAGGUUCACCAAGGCAAAUCCAAUAGUGGGAGUUGGAAUGUGGGCAAGGAAGUUCUGUCAUGAUCAACUGUGAAUCUACAUUGGCUAAGGAGUGAAAUGAGGCAAUUAAGGGGCUAAUGAUUCAUGAAGAGGUGGUUGGGUCAUAGAUUCUAAGUCUCAGCUGGUAGAAGGAUUAUUGAAGUCUGGAUAAGAGAAAGAGUGAGCUGGAAACCCAGGGCACAGUGGUUGGAGAGUGGGACAUAGAAACUGAGAUGACUAGGCUGGGCGUGGUGGCUCACGCCUGUAGUCCCAGCUACUCAGGAGGCUGAGGCAGGAGAAUGGUGUGAACCCGGGAGGCGGAGCUUGCAGUGGGCCAAGAUCGCGCCACUGCACUCCAGCCUGGACGACAGAGCAAGACUCCUUCUCAAAAAAAAAAAAAAAAAUAAGAAACCAAGAUGACAGACAACUGCAGCCAGAGAAAAUGACAGUUCUAGGGUGCGACCGUGGGAGUGAGAGGUUAGGGUGGAGGUGACCAGGUGGACAGUAGGACACAGAACUGAGAGGUACACAAGGAUCUUCUGUGUGGAUAUUGAAAUCAGUGUGAGAUAAAUACAGUGCUGGAGAGACUGAGAAUGAACUCAAAGUCCUCAAGGAUCGAGAUGAGAAGUGACCUGGGGUCAGCAGGUACCUUCAAGAAGGAGGCGGUCGGCUGGGCACGGUGGCUCACGCCUGUAAUCCCAGCACUUUGGAGGCCGAGGCGGGCAGAUCACCUGAAGUAGGAGUUCGAGACCAGCCUGGCCAACAUGGUGAAACCCCAUCUCUACUAAAAAUACAAAAAUUAGCCAGGCGUGGUGGCGGGUGCCUGUAAUCCCAGCUACUCAGGAGGCUGAGGCAGGAGAAUUGCUUGAACCCAGGAGGCAGAGGUUGCAGUGAGCCAAGAUUGCGCCACUGCACUCCAGCCUGGGGGACAAGAGUGAGACUUGGUCUCAGAAAAAAAAAAAAGAAGGACAGGGUCAGUGGUAUAGUUUGAUGAGAUUCGAAGGGAGAUUCAACCCAGUGGUUGUUUAGGAAGGAAAGAGCAAAUGGUUUGGAAUCAGCAAUCAGUACUGAAGAGGUUAUUGACCCCACCCUAGGGCUGAGGUAUGAGGGCAGGAGGGAGAACAGCUACCACUUGAACACCCGAGCUCAGGUGAUCCACCCACCUUAGCCUCCCAGGUAGCUGGGACCACAGUCUGGAAAGGGGAUGUUAACAGCUUCACUAGGACACUUUUUGAGUCUUGAACUCAGUUUCUCAGAUUACAUAAUUUCACUUCCUCCUAACUUGUUUGAGAGGCACCACUUUCUGAACCUGCAUCUGAUGCUGACAUUGGGAAUUAUAACCCAAACCACAAUUACCCAUUCAAAUAACAUUUGGACAGUUUUCCUCCCAUUUACCCAGGAGAUAUAUAUUUAUAAUCUUCAAGUUGCAUUUUAAAAUGAUUUUAAAAAGCCUUAUUUACAAAAACAUGCAACUCUUUUCAUUGUGAGGUCAUAUCCCUAGGGAGACUUACUAAAUCUGUGUUCAAAUUUCUUUGCCGAUUUUUUCACCACUGUCAUCAGGUGACCUUUAUAAACAUACAAACUAGCAUUGACUGAGGUCAUUUCAGGUGACGGCAUCUCAGACAGCUGUCAUUACUUAAAAAGAUGAAUUAAAAAAAGUGGAGGGAGGAAAGGUGAAAGAGAAAUGCAGAAAGAGAAAAAAGAAAAUAAAAG